rnacentral:rRNA from 1 species
UACGGAGGGUGCGAGCGUUAAUCGGAAUUACUGGGCGUAAAGCGCACGUAGGCGGUCGUUCAAGUCGAGUGUGAAAGCCCCCGGCUCAACUGGGGAGGGUCACUCGAUACUGAUCGACUCGAAGGCAGAAGAGGGAAGCGGAAUUCCCGGUGUAGUGGUGAAAUGCGCAGAUAUCAGGAGGAACACCGGUGGCGAAGGCGGGUCUCUGGGCCGUAACUGACGCUGAGGAGCGAAAGCUGGGGAGCGAACAGGAUUAGAACCUACGUACG